rnacentral:tRNA from 1 species
AAUGGUAUGGCCGAGAUUUUAGGCAGAAGACUGUAGAUCUUCCAACGGGUUCGCCCUACCGUUA